rnacentral:rRNA from 2 species
UCUGGUAAUGAUAGCAUGAUGGACACACCUGUACCCAUUCCGAACACAGAAGUUAAGCAUCAUCGCGGCGAAGAUAGUACAUUGUGCGAAAAUAGCUCGUUGCCAGUUCC